rnacentral:tRNA from 1 species
UGGGGCGUAGCUCAGUGGUAGAGUAGGUGCUUAGCAUGUAUGAGGUCCUGGGUUCAAUCCCCAGCACCUGAA